AAACUGCGAUAAGUAAUGCGAACUGCUAGAUUCGUGAAUCAUCGAAUAUUCGAACGCACAUUGCACCUUCCAGGCUUGCCUGGUUGGUAUACUUGUUUGAGGGUCAUUUACACCAUUGCCCCCCGCUCGAAAGCAGAGGGGGGCGACUUGAGGCCUCGAUGUGUGUGUGUGAAAGCGCGCGUCGGCCUUUAAAUGUGGGGUGGUCUUUUAGACCUCGGAGGAAAUGUGUGGUACCUAUAUGUAUAUCGCGCAGAGUAUCUCAGAGGUGUGUGCGCUCCAGAUCACCAAACUGUAUGUGAACCCAUGACCUCAAAUCAAGCAAGAGUACCCGCUGAACUUAA
rnacentral:misc_RNA from 1 species